rnacentral:tRNA from 5 species
GGUAGGAUGGCUGAGUGUUUAGCGGUGGAUUGUAGCCCCACGUACAGAGGUUAAAAUCCUCUUCCCACCA